rnacentral:tRNA from 1 species
GGCAGCUGUGGCUCAGGGGGUAGAGCGCCGCCCACUAAUCAGAGGGUCGGGGUUUGAUCCCCCGCUCCUCCA